GUAGGGAAUAUUGGACAAUGGGGGCAACCCUGAUCCAGCGACGCCGCGUGAGUGACGAAGGCCUUCGGGUCGUAAAGCUCUGUUGCAAGGGAAAAACAAAAUGAUGGUACCUUGCUAGAAAGGAUCGGCUAACUUCGUGCCAGCAGCCGCGGUAAGACGAGGGAUCCUAGCGUUGUUCGGAAUUAUUGGGCGUAAAGCGGGUGUAGGUGGCUUUGUAAGUCAGGUGUGAAAGCCUGGGGCUUAACCCCAGAAGUGCAUUUGAUACUGCGAAGCUUGAGUGCUGGAGAGGCUACUAGAAUUCUUGGUGUAGUGGUGAAAUACGUAGAUAUCAAGAGGAAUACCGGAGGCGAAGGCGGGUAGCUGGCCAGACACUGACACUCAGACCCGAAAGCGUGGGGAUCAAACAGGAUUAGAUACCCUUGUAGUCC
rnacentral:rRNA from 1 species